UAGUCUAGUUCCUAUGAAGACAAGAUGUCAGCGACCCAAGGAUGGCACCCUUAGUAAUUUAUUAAACCAAUGCAAAGAAGGAUGCUUUUUCCCGUUUGCAUUCUUUCGUUCAGUAUUUCUGGAGCCCCAGUACAGGACGGGUUCACGUGUGUCUCCGAUGUGUUUUUUUUUUAUUAUAAGAUUUAUUAAUCUAUCUCGCGUCUAUGUGAGGUCACUAAAUCUGCACAGGGUGUGAGCCUGCGUGGAGUCUCUGGGAAUUGAGUGACAGGACCUCUGAGUGCUCCGGCCCCGCCCCAGACAUUUAGAGUUUUUUUUUUUUUUUUUUUUUUGGGGGGGAGGGUCAGGGUUUUGCUGCUUUUUUUUUUUUUUUUUUUAAGAGUAGUGUUUAGUGCUCUUGAGUAUUUUUAUUUAAAAUGCUAGGGUUUUAUUUGGGGGGUUUAAGAGUGUUAGGGUCGCCAGGCAGGGGUGGCACACGCCUUUCAUCCCAGCAGCGCUUGGGAAGAGGCAGAGGCAGUGGAUCUCUGAGUUCGAGGCCAGCCUGGGCUACAGAGUGAGCUCCCACACGAUAAGCACACGAGACUUUUUAAUUUUAUAUAAAAAUCACGGCCGCCCGCCCGUGUCUCUGCAGACGCGGAUUUCUCCGGGGGUGGGGGGGCGGUUUCAGUCUCUGGGGGCCCCAGGUGGCCCGGCGAGUGGACGUCAUCCUUCCCUGGGGGUCGCAGUCCCCCACCCACGGCGGGCAGGCGGGCGGGCAGGAAGGCGGGUGGGCAGCUCACCGCCAUCUGUGAGGGGAGCCGAGGCGCCCUCUGCUGGCCUGUGGGUGUCAUGGCGGUGGCAGGGCGCGCCCUUCCGUUUCCCAGGACCCCCACGAGUGGGCGGGGAGGGCGUCAGCUAAGACCAGAGUGGGGUCUCACCUGAGUGAGCAUGAGGCGGGGGCGGGGCCUGGGGCGGCUGCAGGCAUCAGCGGCGGCACCGCCCCCUCGGGGUGAUUGACACGAUGGAAGGGGAAGCCGGGCCCCGCCCACCGCGCGGCGUGGACCUGAAGCCUCUGUAUUCCUUUAUAGAGGGAAAAAAAGCCUCAGACACUGCCUCUUGUCAGACAUGGACGGUGGGUGUGUGUGGGGGAGGGGGGGGGGAAGAAAUCCAGCCUUCCAUUGGAAGGCGCGGCUGUCAGUCACAGCCGGGCGGGCGGGACUUCUGGCGCUAUUCCCUGCUCCUGGAAAUAGCAAGUGGGGAAGCUUCCUGAUUGAAAGCCGCUGCCGUCAAUCACGACCGAGCGGGCGGGACUUCCUGCCACAGACUGGAACUCUCACGUGGCGCGGGUGCACAGAACUGAGCCUUCCGUUUUCCCGCCUCUACCACCCGAAAACUGCCCGGCAAGGGUCUCUCCGCCUUUGUGAGCGCCGCUGUCCCGGGGACCGCGGAUUGGAAGCAGGAAGUCACUGGCCGCGGACAGAAUCUCUCUCUCCUUCCAUCUCAGAAUCGGAUCCAGAGCCUCUGCUGGCUUGAAUGUGAAGAGUUUUGUUUUCCACUCAGAAGAAUUCUUGAGAGUUUUAUAGCCACAAAAUGAUGCUGCUUAUGUUUUGAGGCUUUUGCUUUUGUUUUGUUUUUAACAUUUAGUAUGAGGUUGGCUGUCAGUUCUAGCCAAAUCAACCACACAUGAAAAAGAAAUAAAAGGCAUUCUUGAGAGUCUAAAAAGUGAUUCUACUAUACAUCAGCAUUCAGAAAAUGAGGUAUCCAAAGUUAUUUUGCCACGGGGGAGAACUUUUUAAUGAAUUAAACUGCUGUGAGUAGCUUUCAGUAAAAGCUUUAAGGAACUCAUAAAUAAAAUGUGUAUGACCCAGGUGUUAGUAAUCAAAUUUAGAAUAUUUUAAAACAGUGUUUUCAGCCAUGAAACCCUAAUGCAUAUUUCUUUUUCUUUUCCUACUUUUUGCAGUACUGGGGAUUUCAGCAAGGAUCUCAGUUAUGUUAGGGUGGCUCUCCAUCCCUGAACUUUGUCCCCAUUCUUCCUAACAUAAAUUUCAAAGAACAGUGUCUUAAGGUAUCCAUUCAAUGGGCUACUGUUCUUUUAAAGUACACCUCUGAUAAGAACUUGACUACUGCAUUACAUUUUGAGGAUUACAUACGGUUGUGAUUUAUGCUCUUUUGCACACAGAGGGGGAAAAUUCCCUUUUAAAAUGAAAACUGCUUCAUUGAAUAAGCAUGCCAUUAAUGCAUGAUUCAAGAUGUCAUAUUUUGGAUGAGAUAACCAAAUUCCUCAGAUGAUUCAGCUGAAAGCAGCUGUUUCCUUCAGAACCAGUUGAGUAUUUGGGUGGAAAAUGGUAGGCUGGAAAAGUGAUGAAUGCACAGUUAUUACUGGAAAUACAAAGUGAUUACAAAUCAUGUGACAAUUGUAUCUAUUAAGAAGUUUUCUUCCCGUUGCUUUUUUCAAAAAACUACUUUCAAAUGAAAUGUCAACAGAGCUUGCCUGUUGUUGAUGGAUUGAAAUUAUUUUCUGAGUAUAUAUUUGAAGUCUUUGGCAAUAAUAAAAAGAAUGACCCCACAUUCUUUGCAAAAUCUCAGUCUGUGAAGGUUUGUGCUUGUUAACAAUGCCAUUUCUCAUUACAAAGAGCCUUCUAUUCAGCUCUGAAUCUUCAUGUGAAGAUGAAGUGUUUCAGUGAUUGGUGAUAUGUCACCAUUGACAGUGUAACCUCAUGCUUCAGUUCCUUGCAUAUAAAGGAACUCUUUCUUUAGCAUGUAAACACCCAGUUUCUGCCCUGUCACACAAAUUCUCUACAUGUCACACCUUCUUGCUUGCUUUCCUACGUAGCUCACACUGCACACCUUCUUGCUUGCUCUCCUACAUUGCUCACAUUGAGGCACAGUCAAUGUAACCUUUCCUCAAAGCAACUGCUCAAAAAAAUUCUUUAAAAAAAAGCACACAUGUUUUCUGGCAGAGCAAGGAUGCACCACUCAAAAUAAUUUUAUUUAAUGACUGGACAUGGUUAGCUGGCUCCCCAUAAUUCAUUUUGUAAUUGGGAAAAAUGGACCACUUCUGAUAUUGUCUGAGUGCUGAUCUGGAGUGACUGAGCAGGAGUUUCCAACAAGAAACUUUUAGUUUUUCCACUUCACAACUCAGGAAGAAUUUAGGACCAGGGCAGUUAUAGACUCUAGAAGUUGUUUUCCAUUCCAGGGUUUUAGUUCAAGUUUCAGACAGGAAGGAAGCUUGAGCAUAGUUUAAUUUCCAAAACAAUGUUUUAUUUGUCAAAUCUCAUUUCCUCAUAUACAGAUUGAUACAAGUCUAAUAUCAAGCACAUUAAGCUCAGAAAAAAGAAGUUUCAGAAAUGAAAAAUAAUGAAUGAGUAAAGAAAAGUAACCACUGUAAAUUCUCCUCUGUGAGUUUCUUAAACAAAUAAGUGUUCACCUGAUUCUUUCAACUGGGGCCUUUAAUUCCUUUGAAAGUUUCCAGUGCAAAAUGUACAUGGAGUGCAUCAAUGGGUGACUGAAAGCUGUAUACUCCCAGCUGUAGUAAUAUUAUAUUUGAUCUUGGUGAUAAACAUCAUGACUUCAUAUAUACUACUAUGCAUAUGGUCAAAGAGUAUCUAGAUAUUGUUGUUUUUAAAAAAGAAAAUAUUUAUUUUUUAUAUCCUUAAAUGUGUGCCUGUAUGUCUGUGUGCACCAUGUAUGUGUGCUGUGGAGACAAGAAGAUAAUGUUGGCGUCCCUUGAAACUGAAGUUACAGACAGUUAGUUGUAGGCUACCCAAUGUGGGUGCUAGGAAUGGAACCCUGGUUUUCUAGAAGAACAAUACACUUCCUUAGCCCGUGAGCCAACUCUCCAGCCAUACAUUUUUCUUGAGAACCUAUAAGGCUCAUCUUCUUAAGAACCUAUAAUAACCUACAUUUUUGUAUCAGAGUCGAGACAUGGAAAUUUGUUGGGGGUUGAUCUAGUGCUGCCAUGUAUUCAAAUGUUAGAUACUGUCCUCCGAGAUCUGCUUACAGUUCCAUGAGCACGUUCUCAUAUAUAUAAAAUGAUGUUGUAUAAACUUUGCUUGACAAUUUUCUCUGAGUGGUUUAAUAGAAGAAGCCACAGUCAAUUACUGGGAGAAUAGAGUUAGGUGGGGCUGGGUGCCAAAUGUAAAUGCAUUUUUAAAAUUAAGUAUUUAUUGAUGUCUAUAGCUAGCUCAUAAAUAAAUGAGACUGAGACUACUAAAGUCAUUUAACCAUCUUUAGCACAAUUACUGGGCAAAUUAUCCCUACUCUAUUUUUUUUUUUUUUUUUUUUGUAUGCUAGACUGGCUACUUCUCAGCCAAGCUCCUCAAGUACUUGCUGUUUGUGUCUCACCUGGGUUAUUUUUGCUCCACAAGUCGGUCCUCAGGGGCACUUCACUCGGCCAUAUAUUUCUGGUCCAUUGAGUCUAUUAGAGACCUCCAGUUCUUUCUGUCUUCUUUCUCCUUCUCCUUCUCCUUCUCCUCCUUCUUCUUCUCUCUUCUUCCUCUAACUUUUUCCUUGUGGUCCCUACCUGAGAUCCCCAGCCUGGUAACUGAACGCCUAACUCUAUUCUUCCCAGUAAUUGGCUGUAGCUUCUUUUAUUUAAACAGUCAGAGAAGACUGGAGAGUAAAAUUUAUACAACAUCAUUUUGUUCCAUGUGCUCAUGGAACUGUGAGCAAAUCUUGGAGGACAGUUUCAUAGCAGCAUUAGACCAGCCCUCAACAGAAAUUGAUGUGUGUGUGUGUGUGUGUGUGUGUGUGCGCGCACGGUGCACACACACACACGCAAGCUCAUGCACGCACAUACCACAGACUUGAACAUGUGCAGGCCAGAGAUAAAUAUUAGGUGUCUUUCUCUCUUUACCUUUAAAAAAAUUAAUUUUUACUCUCAGAGUUUUAUACAUUUAUGCUAUGUAUUUUGAUUGUAUCCACCCUGAGUCUUUUUUUCUGACUUCUCCUGGAAUAUCCUGCUCCUUCUUCUAAUACUUCUCCUUCUCCUCUUCUUCUUUAUGACCCAAUUCAUGCUGCCCAUGUGCACAUAGAUACAGGGUAGUCUGGUGGAGGAGCAUAGGUAACUUAUGAGGUGCCGUACUUUUGAAAACAAACAAACAAACAAACAAAAAACAAAAGCAGAAAACAAAAUGAAUUCUUCCCUCCACAGCAACCAUCAACUCCAAUAGCUGGUAGUUAGGGGUGGGUCCUCUUGGGUCCCUCCCCCAUCCAUGCUGGAAUGUUGACCAGCUUGAUUUGCAGAUAAUUGUAGGCAAGCACAAGUUGUGUGAGUUCAGGGGUCUAAUGGCUCUCCUGUAUCCAGGGAAUAUUUCAUAGUAGUCCAUCUUGACAUCUGGCUCUUACAAUCAUCCUACCCCUUUUCCCAUGGUGUUCCCUGAGUCUUGAGAGGCAGGAGUAUGAAAGAAGUAUGUUCCAUUUAGGGACAAACACUCUACAGUAGAUUAUUUUCUGCACAUUGACCAAUAGUGAGUCUUUGUAUCAAAUGAAGCUACUCUUACGGAGGAUGAGAGCUGUACUAGUCUUUGCACUUAAGGAUAAGUAUUUAGAAGGCAUUUUAGUUCUGUGUACCAUUAUCAAAGUAAUAGUAGUGGGUUUACUUAUAGGGACUAUGGCUUCUUCAGUUACUAAAUCUUAGCUACGUUUAGAGUACUAACAUGAGUAUUCUCUUGUAGAGUGAGCUUUAAAUCCAACUGGAAAUCUGUUGGCGACACAUAUAAUAUUCAAGCCACUAUUGCACUAAUGGCAUAUCUUGCCUAGCAAAUCAUUACUGUAGCUCACAUGGUUCAAAGUGGGUUAAGACUAUUGCUGAGUUUUCUUUCACAGCAGUAUGCAGAGCACCUCUGACAGUGGGUAAAUCAUCCAGUGAGAGGAAAGCUCCCACAUCAGCAUCAGCUUGAGCUCUGUGUGUGUGAUACAAGUAUCAGGUGUCUUUUGCAGUAAGAUCUUACCGUCAAGCUCUGAAGGAUGAACAAGAGCAGUGGAAAUAGCCUAUAUUGUUUUGGAAAAUAAUCUGAGUAGCCCCUUACUAAGAACCUGGAGGGAUAUUUGUUAGGUAACUAUAGCUUCUGGAGGUGCUUUAUCCUGCACCUAUAUAUCAUGACUGUUUCUCUCUCUCUCUCUCUCUCUCUCUCUCUCUCUCUUUCUGUCUUUGUCUCUCUCUGUCUCUGUCUCUCUGUCUCUACACACACACACGUACAUACGUGUAAAACUUGGGAGGAGUAUGUUUUCAUGUGGAUUUUUCAAGCAUCCUUCAUUAGUUACCCUUCCCCUGACCCAUUCCAUUGCUCUACCCUCCCGUCCUCCACCCCAGUUAAGGUUUCUCCUCUUUGUAUUCCCUUUUCCUCCUUCUAUGACCAGUAUCUCCCUUCCUUAAGCACUUGUUUCCUCCAUGACAAUGGCCAUUUUCUAGUUUCCUGGCUCCCAUGUUACAAGUUAAGCAACCAAAUGUAAAGAUUCAAAGCAGAGUCCAUAAAUGAGGGAGACCAUGUGAAAUCACUUUUUUUUUUUUUUUUGCCAUGUGGCCUUUCAUUGACUGUGGAGUUCACUAAGUGUCUCAGAUGGUCCUCAAGUCCCUGAGAUCCUCAUCUCUGUCUCCCAACCAUAUGAAAUCAUAGCCGUGGAUUAUCAUGCCUGGCUUUUAAUAUGGCUUCUGGGGACCAUAACUCAGGUCUUCAUACUUGAGGAACAAGCUCUUUAUGCCCCGUGCCAUCUUCCCAGACUAUCAAUCGACUGACUAAUUAUUUUUUAAAUUUGUUUUACUUUCCUUAUUUUAUGUAUGAUAUGUAGGCACCUGUGCCACAACACAUGCAGGGAAGUAAGACGACAACUUUCAGAAGUCAGUUCUCUCCUUCAACCAUGUGGAUCCAAGGGAUUAAUCUCAGAUUGCAAGGCUUGCUGGCAAGCACCUUUACCCACUCACUGACUCAGAGGAACUGCUUAGAAAAGUUGAUAUUUCAGUGUAUUUGAUCUUAUAUCUGUCUUUAUUCUUCAUCUAUAUUUCUUAGCUAGACUUAGAUCAUUACCUGGGCCAAACCUGCUGGGCUGCUUACUCUGUGCCUGAAUCUGAACAAAUGAAAUAGCAGAGGAAAACAACUGACUGUGUAACUCGGCUCCCUUUUUAAGGUCUGUACACACAAACCUUAUGUGGGCACUCAACAUGUCCAGAAUCCAAACACACUUUCAUAAUAGUUUUCCAGCAUACAUCCCUAAGUAGCCAUUUUGCAUCUUCUCUUUGAAGUUUCCAUAUACCCAGCGUCUCUGUCAUGCUUACCACUCAUAGUAAGUUUGCCUUCUAUUUAUGAGGAAAAUAGUGAUAUUAAUCAGGAACCACCCCCAUUAUCCCAAGAAAGUUACCAGCCUGCAACUUUGUGCUUCCUCUCUGACUUCCUUCUCAUUGCUAUGGAUAGUGUGUCUUGAUCCAGGCCAAAGGCAAGCUGCCCAAGGUCCUCCAUUGUAACCCAGAUCCUUUCCAGGAACUUCAUUUCUACACUCACCCCUGCUCAUAUCCAUACUUCCUUAGCGAUCUCAUUUGUCUCCAUUUUACAGAACUUGUCUUUAAGGAGUUCUCAAGAGUUUCUUGUUUUUAUGGACUGUUACGAGUUGACUACAAAGCACAGGUUCAUGUUUGGAACACUUGUUCAGCUGAUGGUACUGUUUUUGGAGGCUGUGAUAUCUUCAGGAGAUGGGCACAGUUGAUAGAAGUAGGGGUUGAGCUUUGAAUGUUAUACCUGGCCUUUGACUUCUGUUGUCCUCAUUCUGCUUCUUGUUCCACAGUGAAAUGAACAGCUUCCACCUUGCGUUCCUGCCACCACGAUCAGAGAUCAGUCAUACCUACCCCCAUCAUAAUGACUCAAACCCUCUGAAUCAGGAGUCACAAUAAAUAUUUCCUUCCUCAAGUUGUUUGGGUCAUGUAUUGUUGCCACAGUGACACAAAAGUAGCUAAGACAGACUCAAUUUUAUCCUUUACUCCAACUACAUUAACUGAAAUACUAAACUACACCAUCAUUGAGACUGUAUUUGGGGACAGUAUCUAGGAUAUUUAGUGAGAUCAUGGAGUUACAUGAGCUCACAUGUGUGGAGGUCUCAAUCAGAUGGAGUGGAGUCCUCUUAAUAAGAGGAAGAGGACUGGACAGUAAGUCAAUGGUGCACUGCUUUCCAACACAUACAGGAACCCAGGUUGAAUACUAAAAUUCUUGCAUGGCACCACAUGUACAGAAAAAAACCUAUGUGAAUAUCCAGCAAAGGAGCAGCCAUCUACAACCCAGAAAAGAGGCCCCUGAAAACCAACUGUGAUGUUAUCUUGAGCUUGGGUGUCUAGCUUCCAGAACCAUGAGCUAAUAAUGUCUCUGUUGUUUAAGUCACACAACGUGUACAUGUAUGGCACCUCGAGCACACUAAUAGACUGUUAUUAUUACUUUUUUCAACUCACAUUCCUUCCUAUUUUGCUUUAUUUAAAGAUCUGAUGUUACAACUUCUUUGACUUUCCACUGUCCAAAGUUUCAAACAUUUACUGUACUCCAAACACUGAUGACUCAUCAUGCUCGCCAUCCUGAUGACAUUCAAUAGAAUCCAUCAUCACUUCCUUCUUGAGGUAAUUGGGUUGAAAGCCAUCAUGAACAGUAUAUCCAGCUUCCUUCUUUCUUCUUCUUCUUACUCUAUACUGUGAUCUCUCUUCUCCCUGAAUGCUGAGGCUCUCUCCUGGGCUUCCAUCCUUCCUCAGUUUAUACGGUUUUCCAAGUUAGUCCUCUUUGUCACAUGGUUUUUACAUAGUAUUCGUAAUGGUAACAUUUUCUUUUAAAAUCUUUAUAUUCAACUCCGACCUCAUCUUUAAUCUUCAGAUUUUUCCUCUAAAGUUUAUAUUUGAGAGAUGCACAUGAACUCUAAAUAAUUGCCCUAGUGGAUGUUUUGUUUGGUAUCAUGGCUCUGUUAUUGCUACAGUUGCUCAGCUAAAUAUCUGAAUGACCACCAUGGUCAUUCCUUUCUACAUUUGUUCUCACACAGAAAGAUAUUCUAAAAUAUCAUCUUUCAGCUCCCACAGCUGCUGAUUUAGUCUGGAUGCCUGAAUCUUUACCCCCAAACCUUAUAUCUUUAGGAGAAAUCCUCUGUCCUCAGCUUCAGUUUGCAUGGAUUCUAACAGAAUAUCUUGUAGCACGUGGAACACAUUUUGCAAAAAGGAACGCUAUCAUGACCCACUAACUCCUUUAAUGAUUUCUCCAAUGGCCCCUCCUGUGGUCAGAAUAAAAUCUGCAGCAAAGACCCUACAGUGUUGGCGGGCUGCCUCCUUUAAGCUUUCUCAGUGAGAGACUCAGACUAAGUCUCUAUUAAGCCUUUCUUUAGGUACAGGUGCCAGUUCUUCACUGCACUGAGUUUGUCGAGUGCUUUUUAUGGAGCACUCCGAGAUGCUGCCAAACACUGGGUCUGCACUAGGUGAGAUUCACUUUGUCAUUUAUUCUCUUAAUAAUGACAUGGUCUUCUUACAUGGUUUGAUUUAACCAUCUUGAGUAAAUUCCACUAACUUAUUGAUUAAGAUUUGUAGGAUUUUGCAGGUGCUUCAUGGAGGAGUUUUGUUUUGUUUUGUUUUGUUUUAUUAUGUCUUUUUGUUUUGGGUAGCAGCAUAAUACUGGCCUCACAGAAUAAGCAGAAAAUAAUUGCUCCUAGUGUCAGGGCACUCUGGUGGAGUCAGCUUGUGUGGCAGAAAUGCCAAAAAGCUGCUCAUGAGAAAUGAAUUUCUAGGACUCUCCUCCUGGAUAUUCUGGCGAAAGCCAACUCUCCAGUUUGGAUCGGUUUGUCAGGCGAAAAGCCUGGAAGCUGUUUCACGAGGAUAAGAGUCCAGGGAAAUUUUCCUCCCAGAGUUAUGGCAUCUCUUUCCCUAACCCAUUAUAUUCAAAUUUCCACCACAUUAAUCUAGUGUAUAGAUUCACGUGCACUCUAUAUAGUAUUACCUUAUAGUAAAUGCCUUUUAAGAUUGUAUUCUAACAUAGCUAAAGCCUUUUCCCAGUGUUCUUAGAUUCCAGAUAGCAGCAAGGAGCUUAACCUAUUCAGUAACUAAUUAAGCUCUAUCAUAAAACAAUAAAACAUCUGUCAUUUACUCAGCUGUCUGUAGAUAGAGACUAAAAGUCUCACUGAGAUAGAAAUCUUUUACUACAGGCUACAUUCCAUGUCAAGUAUAAGUUGAUAUACUACCCUGAUAAGGGGGAACUCUCCAGACAGGAUAAGUUUUACUAGACCUAAAAAUUUAGAGCUCUGUGAUAAUGCAUUACUCUUAAGGCCUGUCAAGAGUUAACAACCCCCUGAUGCUUUUAACCUUAAAGUGUGAAAUUCUUGCCUGGCAUUAGGCUGAUCCUAGGCAGGGCUUGUUAUCACUAAUGUAAACAUUUAAUUAGUCCCUGCAAAUUCCUUUCUGCUAUAACUGGUGAAUAUCAGUGUAUCUUGUCUUUUUGUGAUUUGUAUCCUCUGAUAAUUCGUUGUAAUAUAAGUCUGAAGCUCAACCAGAACAUUACAUUCAGAUCCAACACCACUCUGACUGUCUGACUGUCACUACAUCCUAAUCUCUGCCCAUCUACUCUAGAGACUCUUUUCUACGCAGGCACAGGGGACCAUAGGGCCUGCGGCAUCCUAGUCUAUAUCUUUCUGAAUAUUCUAUUUUUAAAACUUGGUAUUAUUAUUAUUUCUUUAAUAUACGAGGGAACUCAUCAAAGAAGCCAACUGUUUUGGGGGAUUAUUUCCCCACUGGUUGCAUUUCUUUAAUUGUUCUAAGUUGGUUUGAGUGUUUUACUUCUUUUUUGAGUCAGUUUUGUAGUUUUUCUAUGUCAAAGCCCUUGUUGAAGUAAACAGCCCGUUUGUUGUAUGUAGCGCUCCUCUCGAGGGUCCUAUGCCUUUCUGUUCAGAGGCUCUGUAGUGGGAUGAGGCCGUCUCUCUCUCACGCCUUAGUAAUCUGGGUCUUCUUUCUCUUCUCAUAGCCUAUGUGAAGAGGUUUGUGAAGAAGCCAUAGUGAAAGGUUUGCCAGUUUUACUGGUGAUAAUUUGUGUUGAUAUAUAUGUAUAUAAUACAUGCAUGUGUGUAUACAACACAUAUAUGUAUAUGAACACACACACACACCUUUAAUUAUGACUACUUCCUUCUUUCUGCUUCCUUUGCAUUUAGGGGUUUUUUUUCCCCUCUUUUUUUCCAGCUCCUCAAAAUAUAGAGUUAGGCUAUUGAUUUGAGGUUUCUUACUCUUUCUAAAAUACAGACAUUUAUUCAUUCAUAAAUAGCUUUGCUUUGGCUUUAAUUCAUUAAAUUUUGAUAUGUUUUUAUCUCUACUUUAACUAAUCUUCAAGUAUUAUAUAAAUAUUGCCAUUUCUUUUUUGACUCAGUAGUUAUUUGGAACACUGUUUAAUUUACCCAAAUAUCUGUGUGUAUUUGGUUUCUAAUUUCAAUUCAUUGUAAUGAGAGGUCAUAUUUUGUACUACUGUGGUCUUUUAAUUGUAGUCAGUCAUAUUUAUGGCUUAACCUAUGGUCUGUUCUGACUCUCUCCUGCACACUUGAAAAGACUAUUCUUCUCUAGUGUUUGUGGAAAGUUAUGGAAAUGAUUUCUAGGUCUAUUUAGUUCAUAGUUUUGACUUCUGUUUCUUUAGUUGAUAUUUUUCUUGGUUAUUAUGCAUGAAAGUCAGCUACUAAAGACCCAAAGUAGUGUGGUGAAAUUAUAUAUUUUUUCCAACCUUAGUUUCUUCUGAUUUUGAAGUCCUCCCUUUAGAGACAGAUGUGCUCAUUAUUAUUAAUGCCCUCAUGGACAAGCCAUUUAUCAUUAUAAUGUUCUCUCUAAUAACAGAAUUUGCUUUAAAAUCUUGUCAUGUUCAAUAUUAAUUGUCAGCUUGAGAGACUCACCUCGGAGAUGGGCCUCUGGGCAUGCCAGUGGCAGGUUGUAUCACUGCUGGAAGACGGGUCUUGACUGUGGAUGGAGCUAUUCUCCGGGCAAAGGAUGCUGGGAAGUCCACAGUGCGGAUUGCACACAGAAAGGUUGCUGGGCACUGGGGAGUUUUCAUUGCUAUUUCUUGACUGUGAACGAAGUGGGACCACAGCUUUUCUCUCCUGCUGCCUUGAUUUCCCCUCAUUGUGGACUGAACCUCACACUGUGGACCCGAAUAAACUCUGUCUCCCAGAAGUUGCUUUUGUCGGUCGGGUCGUCUAUUACAGCAACACAGAAAUAAAAUGAAGGGCUCAUUUGUCAGAUGGUAGCAUAGCCAUUCUAGCAUACUGAUUACACCUCUUUCCCCUCUCUUUCUGUGUAUUUACUGUUUAUAUCUUUACCCGUCCUUUUGCUUUUUGGCUUAUUUGUGAUUUCAGAUCCAGAGAAUGACUCUUGUAGAGUUACAAAGAUAUAUAGUUGGAUCAUGCAAUUAAGACAGACAGACAGAGAGAGAGAGAGAGAGAGAGAGAGAGAGAGAGAGAGAAAUGUAGUGUAGUCUGGAAAUGUUUGCCUCCUGAUGAGAAUGUUUAAUUCAUUAAAUUUAAUGUCUUUCUGAUGCUAGGAUUUGUUGUCUAUGUCAUUUUCUCUGACUAAAGAACCUCUUUAAAAUUCCUUUCUCUAAAUAUAGUCACAUUCUGAAGUGUACUGAAGAUUCUAAUAUGUGAGUUUUAGAGAGAUGUAGCAUUGUAAUUCUAUUGAUAGUUAUUUUUGACAAUGUUUUUAUUUCUCCAUGUGAUUUGAGUUACUGUUGUUUUGUGUCCUUUAUUUCCACCUAAAGGACACUCUGAGAAUUCAUUUUAAAGGGGGUCUACCUGCAGUGAAUUGUGCUUGGGUUUAUCUUUUUAGUGCUUUGAAUGCCUUACCUCAUGAUAUCUGGUUUUCAUGGUUUCCAUUGAGAAAUUAGCAAUACAUAACUUUGAAGCUCCUCUGUGUGUGAUGAGCCACCCCACCACCCUCACCCCCACCCCCGGCUUCACUAGUCCUUAUGUCUGCCUGCAGCUGUCCCCAUUUUGCUUGGACUUCAUUGUGUUUCUUAGAUGUCUCUUUAAUGGUUUUCACCAUUUUGGGGAAAUCUGCUGCCAUUAUUUCCUUGAGCACCCCUUCUGUCCCCUUGCCCUCCUCCUUCUGCACAUCCCUCUGUGCGCACCAUGAUCAUCCUGCUGUGUGCACUAUGAUGCUUUACUGAUACUACCUUUCUGCUAUCACAAUGUUCUCAUCCCUUCCCCUAAUUCUCCGGGUUUUGUUUAUUUUGGCUUUUUUAAAAUGGGGUUUCUCUCUGUACUCUUAUCCAGUGAGUUACUCUAUAGGCCAUGAUGGCUUUGAACUCAGAGUCCCACCUGCCUCUGCCUCCCAUGUGCUGGAAUUAAAAGGUGCCCAAGAUCAAGGGUUCUUUUGGAAGAGUAUUGGCUUGAUGGUUCUUGUUUGAAGCGUUUCUUGUUGCUGUUGCAGGCGUUGCUAAACAACUAUUUUAUUUAACCUUUUGGCAAAUUCAUUGUGGACAAAAUGAUCACAAUAAGCAAAGAAAAGUGAGAAAAGAAAGAAAAAUAGAUAGAUAGAUAGAUAGAUAGAUAGAUAGAUAGACAGACAGACAGACAGACCAAUCCAGUGAGGACCAUAGGAAAUUACCAAAGCAGGUCAGACAAUGACAACAGGUUUGGUGGCUUGGCACAGCUCUGGACUGUUACUGUCCAUAGCUCUCAGGUUUCUGCCCUUCACUUUGACAAUAAGACAGUUGGUCUUUAAGGCUACUGAAAUUUGGGAGAAGACAUGAGGUUAGGAAAUUCAAAUUAGCAUGAAUCUCAUUGAUUUCACUAAUAUUACACAAUGUUUCUUGAUUAUACCGUUAGUGAGAUGGCAAGUGUAUAAAAGCACUGGCUAUGAAAGCCCAACCCAACUUAUACACCCAGAAAACACAUCUCUCUGACCCUGCCUCAAACUCACACAUACUACACCCCAACCAAACCAAACCAAACCAAACCAAACCAAACCAAACCAAACCAAACCAAGAAUCCGUUUUUCCAUGAUUUUCAUCACUUCUGUUAUCAGGUGUCUGAUGUGAUUUCUUUGCAUGUAUCCUGUUUAGGCUUUAUAGAGUUUCUUGAUUAUGAAGCUUAAGGUCUUCCUAGUCCAUUUACUGUUGAUACUAUAACAAAACAUCUGAGCCUGGGUAAAAAUACAUUUAUUUUGCUCAUGGUCUGAAAGCUGGCAUACCCUCACAAAAGACAGCUAUAUCAGGGUCCUUUCAGCAAAAUCUUGCUUGUGUAUGAAAUGGU